CAAACUGAUACUCUACCACAUGAUUCUAAUCACUCUUAUUCUCAACAAAUAUAAUUUUUUAAUUCAAUAUUCUAUAGGCUUUAACGUGUUUCAUUUAAUAAAUAUAAUUAUCAACACGAACUCAGUAUUAUCUAAAAUAUAGCUCAUAGAAAUAAUUUCAAUUUAAAUACUAUUAAACAAAUUUAAAAACAUAGUAAAGAAAAAAUA